AAAGCAAAAAAGAAAGGAAGAAGAUCCAGAGCAUUAAAAACUCAAUCAGGAAAUAGCAAACCAUGAGAUUUUGUUUAUGAACGAGAUCUGAAUGAAAAAGGAGAGAGAAGAAAUCCAACUAUAAAAAGGAAAGUCCUUGUAGUUUCAACAGUAGAGUUAGAGUAGAACACUUAUCCCUACCUACAGCCUAGCUCUCUCACCUUUCCUCCCUCUCCAAAUAAAAAAAAACAUAGAAUAAAGAAGAAAAGGAGGAGAAGAAUUGUGAGGAAAAACAAAAUCCGUUAUUUUGGGCAUAUCUUUAGAUGGCUCAAUAGAGGACGAUGGAGCAUUGAAGCUACGAUGCUGCAACACAAAUUGAAGUUUUUGGUAAUGGUAUCACUCUGAUUUCAUACCGAUUCCUUACUUCCUCAAUUCCUAAAUUCUCCGAUUCCUUACUUCCUUCUUAGAUUUUUUCGAUUUGAUGCCAGUUGAACCCAAGACCUGCUAAACUUUGGAUAUAACACAGCGCUAACAAGUUACAAGGACACCGGAGGUCUGCUUGAUGUCGAUUGUUCUUAUGCUUUGGGGUAACUAAAGCAUCACCUGAUGUUCCAUAUAAUAAUCAGAGUAAACUUUCACUAUAAAAAUAUCAAGGUGUUCAAUUAUCAAUUAAAAUUACAAUGGGGCGACAGAGCCACCACCGUUGACCUAAUCAUCAGAUGGAGUUGAGCAGAUAAUGAUGUGCCUCAGGGGGUUUGCCACUUCAUUUCCACCAGCAUGCUUGACAAAUUCGGCUGGGGAGAGAAAACUGCCGUGGCAAGCACACAAAAUGCCGACCUGGCCUUGUCCAUACUUGUAUAGAACCCCCUCGGUCUUCCUCCCAUCUGC